CUUAUACAGUUUACAAUGUAAAAAGGCACAGAGAAAGAAACAAAUAUUAAAUAUAAUGUCAGAGAUGGAUAAUUGCUGUGAACAAAAAUUAAAAUUAGGGUAAAUAAUUAGAGUGUGGUGGAGGGGACCAUUUUAAAUAGCCUCAUUAUGGUAGGGUUCUCUGAGGAGAUGACAUUUGGACAGAAAUCUACAGGAAGAGGGACAGACUGCAAGACUCUCUCCAGGUGACACCAAGUUCAGAUGCUGGCGGAAAAGAAUGGUGGGAACGUUCAAGGCUCAGCAAGAAGGAGCCGGGACUGGGAACAACUGGGAGACUCAUCUCUCCUUGUCCUACUCCCAGUGACACCGUCAGUAACUCACUCAGCAAUAACACAGAACCCUAGGAGUUCAUGAGAUUGAGCAAGAAAGAAAGGACCUAAGGACUGGGAGUUAAGAAAUGAAAUGUUAAAAGGAGGUUGAAACAGAUAAAAGCAAGAGAACUGGAACACAGAGAAGAGGGCUGCUUGCCCCCGAGUCAGCCAAGGAUUUACACUGCUAAGAGACCUUGACAUCUGAACACUUCCUUCCUUCCCUGAAGUUUUAGCAACACACCCAGGGGACUGGACAAGAACCACCAAGAAGCAGGAACUACCAUGAAGCAAGAGCUUCAUCCUCUGUGUCUGCAUCAAAUCCCCAGCCCUAGUACUGCCCACCCCCACACUUCUCCCUACUUCAGGCCAAUGACAAGAAGCAGGAAGAACUAAAUUUGUCAGAGAUACUCUCCGUAAGAUCUCAAAGGCCCGCCAUUCCUCUCCUUUUGGCUCCACUUCCGGUCACGUUCCCCUUGAGCAGUCAGUACUCCAAGGAAGGGGAAUAAGAGCCACUCUUCAUAGCUGAGCACCAUCUCCAGAGCUCUAAGACCCCACUUGAAGGUUUUAAAGUCAGUGAAAUUCAUUAUUCUAUGGGAUUCCCUGCCCCUUACAUGCUUUCCUUUGCCCACAAGUAAAACAACCAACAAAAGAUCAAUGAUUAUUCUCAAAACAAAGAGGAAAAUGUAUUUUUCAAAGGAGUUUGAUGGUUGGCUUGAUUUGAGAAAAAAUGUUCCUGAAUUUCAAUUAUCUUGAAAUUCUUAAAUUUAAAUUGAGCAUUAAUGGAUUGGAGGUAGAGAAUAGAUUUAUUUUGUUUAUAUUCUAUAACAAAGCCACUCUACUAAAUUCAAAAUUAAUAUUUUUACCCAAAAAAGGUUCAAACAUUUUUAACAAUAUUUUCCCCUUCAGGUCAAUCUUCUUGUAUAUUCAAGUGCAUCUUGCUAAUCUUGUGUGGGUAAAUGUAUGUUAAUAUUAUCACAGUUAUUUAAGCAUUGCCUUCAAAUAUUUUAAAGCAUUGAUUUCCUUCCUUUAACCAAAUACAUAUUAACAGAGUCAUAAUAAUAAAGCAUGAUUUAUUUAAAAAAUUUUAACAGAAAAGCUACAAGG
ensembl:lncRNA